GAUGAACGCUGGCGGCGUGCCUAAUACAUGCAAGUCGAGCGAACAGACGAGGAGCUUGCUCCUUCGACGUUAGCGGCGGACGGGUGAGUAACAUGUAGGUAACCUACCUAUAAGACUGGGAUAACUUCGGGAAACCGGAGCUAAUACCGGAUAAUAUUUCGAACCGCAUGGUUCGAUAGUGAAAGAUGGCUUUGCUAUCACUUAUAGAUGGACCUGCGCCGUAUUAGCUAGUUGGUAAGGUAACGGCUUACCAAGGCAACGAUACGUAGCCGACCUGAGAGGGUGAUCGGCCACACUGGAACUGAGACACGGUCCAGACUCCUACGGGAGGCAGCAGUAGGGAAUCUUCCGCAAUGGGCGAAAGCCUGACGGAGCAACGCCGCGUGAGUGAUGAAGGUCUUCGGAUCGUAAAACUCUGUUAUUAGGGAAGAACAAACGUGUAAGUAACUGUGCACGUCUUGACGGUACCUAAUCAGAAAGCCACGGCUAACUACGUG
rnacentral:rRNA from 1 species